ACGCUGGCGGCGUGCUUAACACAUGCAAGUCGAACGAUGAAGCCCAGCUUGCUGGGUGGAAGAGUGGCGAACGGGUGAGUAACACGUGAGUAACCUGCCCUUCACUCUGGGAUAAGCGCUGGAAACGGUGUCUAAUACUGGAUACGACCCUUACAGGCAUCUGUUGGGGGUGGAAAGAUUUAUCGGUGAAGGAUGGGCUCGCGGCCUAUCAGGUAGUUGGUGAGGUAACGGCUCACCAAGCCGACGACGGGUAGCCGGGCCUGAGAGGGUGACCGGCCACACUGGGACUGAGACACGGCCCAGACUCCUACGGGAGGCAGCAGUGGGGAAUAUUGCACAAUGGGCGAAAGCCUGAUGCAGCAACGCCGCGUGAGGGAUGACGGCCUUCGGGUUGUAAACCUCUUUAGUAGGGAAGAAGCGAAAGUGACGGUACCUGCAGAAAAAGCACCGGCUAACUACGUG
rnacentral:rRNA from 1 species